rnacentral:tRNA from 1 species
CAGCGUGUAGCUCAGUGAGGAGAGCACCGGGCUUGCAUCCCGGCGGGCGCGGGGGCGGGGCCCGCCACGCUGG